CGAGGAGACCGAUGCUGGCGAGCGCGUAGAGGAGCC
rnacentral:misc_RNA from 1 species